rnacentral:lncRNA from 10 species
ACCAAAUCCCUAGAACUGUAGUUGCUGGGUUUAAGGAUAUAUUGACUUUUAAGGCAUUAAAUACACAUUGCUCUGUUGCUCACUUGGUAGCCGUGUUUGAAAGAGUGUCCAUUUUGCCACAUCUUUGCCAAAACUGAGAAACAGAGUCUUUUCCAUUCUUUUUCAUUUUAGCUAAUUUGAAAGGGGGAAAAAACUGUCUUUUUUUUUUUUGAGACAGAGUAUCACCCUGUCACCAGGCUGGAGUGCAAUGGCAUGAUCUCGGCUCACUGCAAUCUCUGCCUCCCAGGUUCAAGUGAUUCUCCUGCCUUAGCCUCCUGAGUAGCUGGGACUACAGGCACGUGUCACCACCCCCAGCUAAUUUUUGUGUUUUUAGCAGAGACGGGGUUUCACCAUAUUGGCUAGGCUGGCCUUGAUCUCUUGACCUCAUGAUCCACCCGCCUUGGCCUCCCAAAGUGCUGGGAUUAUAGGCAUGAGCCACCGCGCCCG